AGAGUUUGAUCAUGGCUCAGAACGAACGCUGGCGGCGUGGAUUAGGCAUGCAAGUCGAACGCGACCUUCGGGUCGAGUGGCGCACGGGUGAGUAACGCGUGGGAAUCUGCCCUGUGGUACGGAAUAACAUCGGGAAACUGGUGCUAAUACCGUAUAUCCCCUGAGGGGGAAAGAUUUAUCGCCAUGGGAGGAGCCCGCGUAGGAUUAGCUAGUUGGUGAGGUAACGGCUCACCAAGGCGACGAUCCUUAGCUGGUCUGAGAGGAUGAUCAGCCACACUGGGACUGAGACACGGCCCAGACUCCUACGGGAGGCAGCAGUGGGGAAUAUUGGACAAUGGGGGAAACCCUGAUCCAGCCAUGCCGCGUGUGUGAUGAAGGCCUUCGGGUUGUAAAGCACUUUCGCACGUGACGAUGAUGACGGUAACGUGAGAAGAAGCCCCGGCUAACUUCGUGCCAGCAGCCGCGGUAAUACGAAGGGGGCAAGCGUUGUUCGGAAUUACUGGGCGUAAAGGGCGCGUAGGCGGUGUACUAAGUUAGGCGUGAAAGCCCUGGGCUCAACCCGGGAAUUGCGCUUGAUACUGGUACGCUAGAAUCCAGGAGAGGUUGGUGGAAUUCCCAGUGUAGAGGUGAAAUUCGUAGAGAUUGGGAAGAACACCGGUGGCGAAGGCGGCCAACUGGACUGGUAUUGACGCUGAGGCGCGAAAGCGUGGGGAGCAAACAGGAUUAGAUACCCUAGUAGUCC
rnacentral:rRNA from 1 species